GUCCACGCGCUGCGGCCUUGGAGUAACUGCUGUUCUUAAAGGCUGCCUCCGUCCUGCCGCGCGGCCUUUAGAGGGUUGGAGCUGGCAGAACCGUAACUCCCUCUCUGAGGGUGAAUACGGGCCUUGAUUGCCAGAAGGGCCCUCGGCCGGGGACGCGGGAUGAUGCGGGGCCGGGAGAUGCUUUCCUGGAGGCUGAGAAACCUGGAGGGAGACCCCCAAAACUUCUCAGUUCGCCGACCCCUUGGUCCCAGAGGGAGAGGAGCAUCCCCAAAGAACAUUCAAGUCUGAGCCUCAAGGAGCCUCUGCGACUCGGUGUCUAGAUCCAGGAAAUGGAGAAUGAGCCGUGACUUUGGAUGCUUCACUCUUGUCCAUCAGGCUCGGAAUUGGGUAGCCCGGCUCUGCAGGGACAGUCACGGAGCUGAAAAACUGCUGCCUAAUGAAGCUGUUUUCUUCUACCACCGGCUCACCCUCAAAUUAUUUCCUGAGCGAACUCAAGAACCUUCCUGGGCUAAGCCCCAAUUUUGGGGCUCGCCUGCCCCUGCAUCACAGCUUCCUCUUCUGUUCACAGCUGCAACCGCCUACUCAACCUUCUGCGGUUCCUCUCCCUGCCCCUCCACAGUGGCUGCUGAUGGGAGCUCUGGCUCCCUGCGUUUUCACUAUCUCCCAGUCAAAUGCAGAGUCCCUGUGCAAUUUAAAUGCUUCUCAGCUAAGAACAGAGAAGGGGAUAGCAUAAGGAUAUUCAAAAGAUUCAAGAAAUCUCAAAAGUGAUCACAAAACAUUUGUCUCUGACCAACCAGAAACAUCGACGGGUGAGAAGGGCAUUUCCUCUAGCUGAAUUCUUCAUGGGUCUUCAGGCUCUGUUUUCACUUUGGAUUUUCUGGAGUCUCCUGAAGGUUACCUGAAAUCUUGUUGGUCCUGAAUAUUGUAUGUGGAGUCCCAAGCUGCAAGAAGUCAGUGGGGCUGGACGGGAGCCAAAAUCAGAGACUCAAGCAGCACAGCUGGGCCCCAUUGAAAGUGAGACCAGCUGUCCCAGUUGGAAGCUGGGGUAUAGAGCUGGGGAUGGGUGGAGGCAGUGACAGGCUCCAUGUAUUGGUCAUUCAGACUCCCCAGUAGCCUCAGGACCCAACUCCCACAGGUCAGAGAAGACCUGGUGGAGGGCCUUAUGCAAACCUCAGUGGGUGAUGCAGGAGGGAGUUUUCUGAGCAGGAAUGCCAACAAAAAAGGCCUUCAAAGGAAGGCCCUGCUUGGGACAAUCCUGCCUCUUUAUGGUCUGGUUCACAGGUUCCCCUGGGUGGGGUAAUGGAAUCCAAGCUAAGGUGUCUGACUUCAAAAGUUUUCAGAAAUGCCACUUUUGUAAGCAUCAGGGAUUGGGUUUUCUGAGAUGCAAAACAUCUUUGUUAAGGGGUUAAAGCAUCCUUAAGCUGUUUAGGUUUCUGGGGAUACAUAGACUUAGGAAGUUAGAGCAGGUGAAGUUGAGGGGGAUGGGAACUAAGAAUUAGCUCAAAAUAGUCACCAAUGCAGAAACCCAGGCACUUGGGACCCUGACAGUGGGGAAGGCAGAGGAGUAACUGUGGGGACUUGGGCACCCUAUUAGCAGAAUGGGGUAACAGAGAAGGCAAGAAUUGCUUCCCAGGAGACUGGGCUGGGAACAGGAAGGGGACUAAAAUGCUGUCCCUGGCUGAAGAGUGUGGAGGUAUAGAGGAGCUGGUAGCAGGGCUCUGAAUCCAUACACGAGAGCAAGGACCAGUGGUUUCAGGGUGGGAUAGGGCUUUGAUGUCUUCAUGGACUUAGGGUAAUAUUCACCACCAUGGUGAAUUCCACAAAGGAGAAUUCACACAAAGGUCUCGGACCAGCCAGUUUCCAUGUGAAAAAGCCAUCUGGGAGCAAGGGAACAAACCCAGGAAUACAACUGUAUUGGGGGAAAUUCAGCCAGACAUAGGGCAAAAUUCACCCCCAAUAUUUCAUGUAGGUUCUUUUCUAUUUUCCGUAAGUGUCGGCCGGUCUGAGAAAUAAAGGGACAGAGCUCAAAAGAGAGAAAUUUUAAAGCUGGGUGUCUGGGGGAGACAUCACAUGUCGGCAGGUUCCGUGAUGCCCCCCGAGCCGUAAAACCAGCAAGUUUUUAUUCGUGAUUUUCAAAAGGGGAGGGGGAGUGUAUGAAUAGGGUGUGGGUCACAGAGAUCACAUGCUUCACAAGAUAAUAAGAUAUCACAAGGCAAAUGGAGGCAGGGCGAGAUCACAGGACCACAGGACCGGGGCAAAAUUAAAAUUGCUAAUGAAGUUUCGGGCAUGCAUUUUCAUUGAUAACAUCUUAUCAGGAGACAGGGUCUGAGAGCAGACAACCGGUCUGACCAAAAUUUAUUAGGCGGGAAUUUCCUCGUCCUAAUAAGCCUGGGAGCGCUAUGGGAGACUGGGGCUUAUUUCAUCCCUACAGCUUUGACCAUAAAAGACGGCCGCCCCCCGAAGCGGCCAUUUCGGAGGCCUACCCUCAGGGACACAUUCUCUUUCUCAGGGAUGUUCCUUGCUGAGAAAAAAAAUUUAGCGAUAUUUCUCCCAUUUGUUUUUGAAAGAAGAAAAAUAUGGCUCUGUUCUGCCUGGCUCACCGGCAGUCAGAGUUUAAGGUUAUCUCUCUUGCUCCCUGAACAUUGCUGUUAUCCUGUUCUUUUUUCAAGGUGCCCAGAUUUCAUAUUGUUCAAACACACAUGCUCUACAAACAAUUUGUGCAGUUAACGCAAUCAUCACAGGGUCCUGAGGCGACAUACAUCCUCCUCAUUUUACAAAGAUGAUGGGAUUAAGAGAUUAAAGACAGGCAUAGGAAAUCACAAGGGUAUUGAUUGGGGAAGUGAUAAGUGUCCAUGAAAUCUUCACAAUUUAUGUUCAGAGAUUGCAGUAAAGACAGGCGUAAGAAAUUAUAAAAGUAUUAAUUUGGGGAACUAAUAAAUGUCCAUGAAAUCUUCACAAUCCACAAUUAUUCUGCCAUGGCUUCAGCCGGUCCCUCCAUUUGGGGUUCCUGACUUCCCGCAACACAAGUGGAGAGAGAGGUGGCCUGACAUUAUGGCUAAGUUGAUAUGGAAGCAUUCUGGUUUGUUCUAGAAAAAAUGAAAGAGGUGGUGCAGGUAAUCAUCAGCUCCUGGUUCUGUAGCAAGGCUUUUGCUGCAAUCCCAGGAGGUAGCAACCUAGGCUUUGGUUCUGAAAGAAGAGGGUCUACCUUCCUGAAUCAUUUUUAGGAGUCUGCUGAUGGCCAGGCUUGGUGAGUUGGACUCUGUAAGGAAUUUUUAUUUAAGUGAGGUCUGGGUAGGAAAAGAGAAGGGAAAAACUUGACCCUGCCUGCACCAAAGGAUUCUGGGAAGGAGAAUAAAGAGAAAAACCCUUCUUCAUGUUUCUGCUUCAGAGCAGGAGAACCAUCACAAGCUAAGUAAAGUCAAUGAAGGGCGAGUGGCCCUAUGGCCACCUGGGCACACACCUGCCCCUUGGCCACCUUGCAUAGGCAGGCUGAGGAGGUCACUAAGGCUUGGUUUUCCUGACCUGCCCUGAUUCCACAUGCUGUAAGGAGGACCCAGAAGGCUGUGUGGCUACAGAGGUGCCCAGCAUGGUGGGGGUCACUUCAGUGUGGACACUAGACUGGACCGCGUGGAACUACAACCAGCUCAGAGCGCCAGCCAGAGUGCUGUUCUGGCCAGAAGGAGGAGCCAAGACCCACACCCAGGAGGACAAUGAGCCCCUCUCUGCAGACAGGAGCCAGCCACACCUGGGGUCUGGGGAGACUCUUCCUGAUUCCAAAUGGGACUGAACUUUAAACCAGACUGGGCAUUUGAGCAAUUUUUUAAAAGCUGUCAACCAAAUAAAGGAAUGCCA
rnacentral:lncRNA from 1 species